UACGUAGGGUGCAAGCGUUGUCCGGAAUUAUUGGGCGUAAAGAGCUCGUAGGCGGUUUGUUGCGUCGGCUGUGAAAUCCCGAGGCUCAACCUCGGGUCUGCAGUCGAUACGAGCAAACUAGAGUGUUGCAGGGGAGACUGGGAAUUCCUGGUGUAGCGGUGAAAUGACGCAGAUAUCAGGAGGAACACCGGUGGCGAAGGCGGGUCUCUGGGCCGUAACUGACGCUGGAGGAGCGAAAGCAUGGGGAGCGAACAGG
rnacentral:rRNA from 1 species